GGAGUACCACGUCCUGGGAUGAGCCACAGGAGUCUGGAACACUUGAUAUGGGCUGAGAGUUUUAAACCGGUUGUGGUCUGGUGCUGAACUUCAGAUGGAUGUUUGAGAGGGCUUUAUGGGGACUCAUGCUCACCACCCUAUCAGAUGUUCCUGCUGGAGGUGAAACUGUCUUUACAAGGGAACACAGUUCAUAGCCAAAUUGACUGACUGAUGAAGAGACUAUCCCACUAAAAUGCUGUGAGGGCAAACCAAACUGUGCCACUUGGCAACUCCUCGCUCAUCUUCAGAGAUUCUCAGGCGCUUCGCAGAUACGCAAGGCUGCAUAAGGAACUGGGUAAAUAAUUGUUCAAACAACAUUGCAUCUGCUGUCUCCUUUCUAAAGAAAGAAAUGGAGUGUAAUGGGCCCCAGGCACUUGUUGGAAUACUGGAAGACCUCACUGCCAAGUUAAAAUUCCUAUAAAAGAUGAACAGGAUUCCUUCACAAAGCAGCGACCUAUGCCAUGGACAGACAUCUACACUCUACGCGCUGACUCUCGGGAGUGUGUGAAGGUGCACACAGAUGUACGUGCUUCUCUUUGAAGGACUUACAUGUAACUGAGUCAUACAUUUAAAUAUUCCCAAGUAGAUGCAUACUUGGGGGUGGGGCCUUUUCAUCCGCCACACCCCCCAUGUUCCUUAAUGGAAGGCAUUCUCCAACAAGUAGAAUACAGUCACACAACUUCAUUCCGAUACAUCUCAAACAUGACCUCUCUAUAUAGCCUCAGGUGCACCCUGGAACCUUGACAACUUGAUUUUCUUCUCUUUGCAGUGAGGAAAAUACCUGUGAAGCAUCCCGAUUCUAGACCUCAGUAGAAUCCCUAAGAAAUCCGAUUCUCUACUAGAAAAGUAAUAGGUUGAUUACAAACCAUUAAUAUGCAAACCGAGCAUGGUGGUGUUUGAAACAAGAUAAAUGUGUGCUAAAUGUAGCUCUGCCGGUGUGCAUCAACUGACCAGUACAGAAGUUUCCCUCCUGGUGCAAUCCUGAGUCCAAACAGAGAAGAGCGAGCAGGUGCCUCCAUGCGUGCUCACGUGCGCUGAGAUGGCAGUGUCCCAUUUUACAACGUUCUCAGUCUAACUUUUAAAACGUGGCUAGACGGGAUGUGAAACCACAUCUAGAAGCCACGUUCUUACCAUGUUGUAGACCAGGUUUUUGGUUCCUUGAUAUAUUUUGGGAACUGUUUAUCUUGUAUUACAAUCCAAUUGGAUGGAAAUAUUUAAAAAUUAAAAUAGAUAUAUCUAUGUUUCCUUUCCCUUUCGUAAUUACUUGCAUUAUAUUCACAGAAUGCCCCUAAAUCAAUAGCUAAUAAAUGAAAAAAUACUGACUACAGGAAAAUCUCAUGGUGCCAUUGACCAAGGACUGGCCUUUUUAUCAGCUCUG